rnacentral:lncRNA from 1 species
GUCUCACUUUGUCGCCCAGGCUGGAGUGCAAUGGCGUGAUCUCACUCACUGCAACCUCCGCCUCCUGGGUUCAUGCCAUUCUCCUGCCUCAGCCUCCCGAGUAGCUGGGACUACAGGCACCUGCCAUCACGCCCGGCUAAUUUAUUUUUUAUUUAUUUUUUUAGUAGAGACGGGGUUUCACCGUGUUAGCCAGGAUGGUCUCCAUCUCCUGACCUUGUGAUCCACCCGCCUCAGCCUCCCAAAGUGCUCUGAUUACAGGCGUGAGCCACCGCGCCCGGCCAGCCAUCUGCUUAAUUUUUAUGUACAUUGCUUAUUUUUGUUUCUUGAGAUAAAAUUCAUGUAUUAAUAAUUUUAUUUAUUUAAAUGAAAUAAAUGAAGACGAACACCAGCUCAUCUUCAACUUAUCCCAAAUGUUUAAAUCUCCUCUUAAGUCAUUCAGACCUACCAGAUAUCUCAUCAUUUUCAUUUCUUGAAAGAGUCAUCAUUUUUUUUUUCUUUUUCUUUUUUUUUUGAGACGGAGUCUGGCUCUGUCACCCAGGCUGGAGUGCAGUGGCAUGAUCUCGGCUCACUGCAGACUCUGCCUCCCAGGUUCAAGCAAUUCUUCCUGCCUCAGCAUCCCAAGUAGCUGGGACUACAGGCAUGCACCACUAUGCCUGGCUAAUUUUUGUAUUUUUAAUAGAGAUGGAGUUUUGCCACGUUGGCCAGGCUAGUUUCAAACUCCUGACCUCAAGUGAUCCGCCUGCCUCAGCCUCCCAAAGUGCUGGUAUUACAGGCGUGAGCCACUGCGGCUGGUCCAUUUUCAUCUUGAAAUGAGUUUCCCUGGAAGUCUUCUGGCCUGCUGGAUUAUGAACAACUUGUCCUAUAAUCAUCCUGGGAUCCAGGGAUCUUUCUUCACAGGCAUCCUGGAGAUUAUCUCCUCUGUUGUAUCUCCUGGAUCUAAUGUCAUCCUCUUCUUGGUUCACUCGCUCAUUUUGUUGGAACACUUCAUCGGAGUUCCCUGGGAAAGACUGCAUAAGAAAUACACACUUUUAGUUGCAUAUAAUGCAUAUACAGACAUAUAGAUCUAUCUAGAUAUAUGUUUUUCCUGUAUUCUCACACUUAUUUGAUAGUUUAGCUAGGUGUAGAAUUAUAGGUUGGAAGUCAUUUUAAUUCUAAAUUGUAGAGGCACUGCUACAUUUCUACUGGUUCCUAAUGUGCUGUCGAGAAGUUCCAUGCCUUUCUGCUUGUCAAUCCUUUUACUGCAAACAAAAUUUUUUUUUUUCCUGUGCUGGAAGCUUUCAGAAAAAUAUCUGUUCUAAAAUUUUAUGAAGAAAUAUUUCUUUUCUAUGAAUCUUUAAACUUAAUUUUUUUUUACCCAUCAAACUCUUUAGAAAUGUUUAAUUGCAAGAAGAAAUUUGUGUUUUCACUAUGUAAUU